rnacentral:lncRNA from 1 species
CUGCCCUCCGCCCCCGUUGCUCUCCCUCAGUGGCCGCUGCGGGGAAUAGCGCUACCCCCACGGAGCACACUUGUCGCAAGGCGUCCUUCUCACGCAGUCGUUGCAAUUAAUUCUGCUAUUGAGCCAGUGGAGUUCGGUGAAGUCUCGUGAGGGCCAUAUAGAGCGGACCCCGAGCGAUGUGCUCGAGUGCAAAAAAGUGGAUAGCGUGAGAUAGCCUCAAACAGACGAUCUUGCAUUGGGCAGUAGAGACAGCCGGCGGUGAAGGGGAAGAUGAGAAUGCAACGGCCGCCAGCUGAAAGGAGAGCCACGCUGCUGCCCGUGGCAAUCGUUCUUGGGAGCUGGCGUUUCUAUCCAAUCUCUUAGGCACACUGUAUGCGCCCGCUUUCUCGCGGGGCGCGCGCAAACGCGUUUCCGGCGUUUGAGGUCGCAAGCUGCUGAUGGGAAAAACUGUUCUGCUCUGUCGAACAGCGGUGUAUUCGUCAUGGCGCGUAAACUGCACUAUCGUGAAGAGGACAGACUUGUACGUUGCCUCAGUAUCGACCUCUGUUGGAUUCGCUCAGUUUUGAGGAGUGGUCAUACCACGCCUAUUGCGACAGGCGCCCACACCCUGUUGAGCAGGCACGUACCUGGGAACCGAGAAAUAACAGCUUUGGUAUAUCUGUGAGUUGGCGGUUUCUAUACUGGCCCACCGAAAAGCAUAUUCGGGCUGAAUGCUUUAGUGGAUUCUUCACUAACAUCCGCGUCUUGUUUCUCACCCAAAUAAGCCAGUUCGCCACGGCACAACUACCCCACCCCAGCCCGCUACUCGUCUAAGCGACGAGUCCACCAGGUUGACGAGCAGCCGCUAUUACCUUCUUGCAACCUCUGCUGAAGGGUAACUACCGUUGUUUAUGUGGGUCAGCAUCCGCGCCGGCCUACCAAUUCCACUGUUUGGUUAGUACGUCGUUGGGGCUCCGUACAUGGCUCGCAUCGCCAUCACUUUGGUGACUGACUACCUUAUCGUGCAUCGCGUGAAUUUACGGCCACAUGCAACACCCACGUGUGGCACAUGUUCACCGGAGAACUGAUGGCAGUGAACAGAUCAAGUCGUCCGUUUCCUAAAAAUUGACACUCUGGAGCUACUCGUACCACCAUUUGCGAUACUCUCUACAGCGUCAAACCUGCUGCAUUGGAAAAGCCCGUCUGAACCGUCCAGCCACACACGCGUGUAUCCCUCGCGCCAAUACGGCCGUUUCUGGAGAGGUAACAGCGUAGCAGCGUCGUCCUCUUCUCCCUCACAGUCUGCCGGGACUUCGACUGGGGGUUCGUUCGCUCGAUACGUCGCGCUGGGCACACCAGGCACGUCUGCGCUAGUUGGCUGUACACCUCGCCCAUCCUCUUCUCCCUCGAUCUGUGUUGCCCAUAUCGCGGAUGGACAUCGCCGCUCUGUUUCGUCUUCCUGCUCCUGCCGGAUCUCACUGCGCCUCUCGCUCGAGGCUGUUCUCGGUGCCCCCUUUUGUACCGCACUCUUUUCAAAAAAACUCGCCGCGCCUGGAGCACUGCUACGGAGGUUGCAUCUGGAAAGCUCAGCAUCCCUGUCUAAGCUAUGACUACUGACUACAGCAAGUUCUUGGUCGCACCCUGCCUCUGUUUCGGCUCGUCGUUGCCGCUUGUGUCCCGCGGGGGCUGGCGCCGACUUCCCGUCAACAGCGUCUGAGUCACGUAAACACGUUGCCUUCCCGCAGAACUCUACGCCCUCUGGCAGGUGCACACUGGCAGGCAAGCGCAUGCCCCAGGUCUCCGCCCUGCGCAGGAAAUACAGAACGACAGCAAGCACGACUACAGUACGGAAAACACCCUACACGGCCUCUGUAUUAUGGAGCAUGAUGGCAGAACUGCAUGGAUGUGAGCAUACGCAAAAAACGUGUAUGAUGGCUUUCACGCUAGAUCACGCUUACCUGCAAGGGACACAUGGGUACAUAGAAACACAGGUGCUCCGCAACUACUCGCGUCACUGCAUUCCCGACACCACCAUUGCUCUCUGACCUGCAUGACCUUUUCACCUAACCCACGUGGGGUUGCGAUGGAGAGAAAUGGGGUGGGCUGUUGCGUAACACAUUAGCAGUAGGAACACGUGAAUCACGGCUAUGAAUUCGGAGCGGAACACAUCUACGGAAAAGCGUGAGUCGUGGGACCACCCACCAGGAACUUUCAAGUUGCAGCCCCAGAAGGAUCUGUUCUCUCAGACAGGACGACUAAAUCACGAAAUCACUACCGAGUCGCAAACCAAACCGUAAGCUGCUGGCAACCCACCCCCCGGUAAAUUCACAGACUCUCCCAACGACGUCGGCGCUCCAGAAAACAGUCGAUCGCAGGAGAUGGUUACCCGCGGCGCAGGUGGGACGCAGCAGAGAAGAAAGAACCAGGAAAAAGAAAAGUCGGCAGUGCAUGCUGAAAGCAACAGGGCCCAGCUGCGGGGCUCAAACCGGCCGAAGCGCCAACGUUUCCUGGGGACUUACGGUUUGCCGACGAGGCCGAACUCGGCGUGGCCAAUCAGAAGGUAAUCCUCGACUCCGGUCUGUUUCAUCUCUUUCCACUCAUCUGUAAACCCUUCAUCUUUCUCGCAUCUCUUUCGUGAACUCAAGCAAGACGGCAGGUCGCGGGGGGGGUGAACGGCAGCUGGGCGUUCAGUGCGGUCUUGGAGUCGUGCACAGCCGCUGCUCCCUGGACUUCUUCCAGCGUCCUCUCGCUCCGUUCUUCCCUCGUCUCCCUCGGCCUGUGAACGGGGAAGAACACUCUGCUUCUCCCCCCUCCACGGCACCCCCUCAACCCGAGAAAAGUUUCUAAAUGUGCUUGUCCAGUCGAUGUUGAACGGCAUCCAGGAGCAAAUGCAGAUGUGCGGCAAAUAGGUGGCGAGGAUGUCCCGGAAAUCUCCAAACACGACUCGACUGUAGACACAUGUGAGAUCUUGUCGAGCCUCACUCGCCACGUACGAGUACCACAUUCCCUUCCCAGGACAGCUCCUCUCUUUCUCCUGUAGAGUCUCUGGACCGCCUGGUUCACCUUGCGACGCGAAACGUCUACCAUCGGAGCGACACAUCUCGCCGGUCCUCUUCCCUUUCGCGGACACGCGCGCCUCACCCGACGAACCGGGAGAAGGCGGAAACGAAAAAGAAGAAGGCGAAGAUGAACAGGAAGGAAGACAACAGGAAGAGGUGGCCACGGUUUGAGGCGGGUGUCGAUCGAGUAGCACGUCUAGCGCCGUAGUGAUGUGGCGGGCCAGAAGCCCCGUACCAGCCCCCACUUCAAGAAUUCGAAGAGGAGACGGCGCACGCCGGCGCUGUCGCCCAGGCGCCUCUGCCGUUCCAGACCUUGCCUGGAGUGUCUUUUCCUGUUCCUCGCUUCCGUUAUGCGCGGAAGGACCGCCUGCGCUUUCGUGGCCGUUUUCGACGACUUCCACAGCGCCGAUUCUCUGGCAAAUCCGCCGAUGCAGAUAGGUAGCGAGAAGAUUAACAAGCUCCUCCCUGCACACACACACAUAAAAACGAGUAGAAGCAAGCCGGGAAAAGACGACGAAAUUCCACGGGUAUGUGAAUUGUGCAUUCCACUUGUUUUCCUCUCAAACCUACGAAAACCCUGUCUGUCGACCGAAGGACCGGAACAGCCACUGCCGACUAUCGCUCCCGGUCUGUGCAAAUGUCCGCCUUUCUACAAGGCGCCCCCUUAUUCCCGCCAUCCGACUUGCGCAUGGAUAUGCUAACCAGCCGUCUCUCGCCACCACGACGUCCCAACGGAGAGCCCUCCCCGUGCUCCUGGCGAAUGCAGUAGAGAACGAAAGAUAGGGGUGAAAGAGGGUCAACGGACAACGCAGAAAUGUCGCACACGGCCACAGAGAAAAACGGUUGGGCUACAGCAGUGGUGUGCUGCUGAAAAGAUGGAAUCUCCGAAACGGAAUAGACACACGUACGUGUACACCUCGUAGAACGGGAAGGAAGGUGGAUUCGCGCAGAACCACCACCAGGCGUCGUCCGGAGUGACCGCUGUCCCUUUGGCGUCUUCCAGAGUCUCCUCUGUUUCCUGAAUGUGACUCCUUUGCUCGGCGUCGCUGUCUCUUCCCUGUUCAUCUUGUCUCUCUUCUUCACAUGGCCGUUCGCGUUCUUCGCCGUCAUUGCCGCAUCCAUCUUGUUCCUCUUUCGAGUCUCCACAGGCUCCACUCCCGUUCGUCUCGGCCUUGUGGAGAUCCGCCUGAAUCGCUGCAAGCACUUCUUGGUAUUUCGGAAGGUGUAGGGCCUCGCGCAUGCGUUGAAACAGAGAGGCCAUUGAGGGGUACGCGCCUCGGAUCUUCCGUUCCUUGCUUUCGCUAGCCUUUCGCCUCCUCUCCUCGCCAACCGCUGUCUCCUUGGGGCCCUCCAUUUUCGCGCCCUCCCUUUUUUCACACUCUCCCGUUCUCUACUUCUGUUCUCCUCUUCUUCGUCAUUUCCUCGUUCCGUUCCUCAGUUGAUUCCCUUGUGCACAGCGAUGGAAACUCCUCCGGAUGUUCCCCGGCGCGUCUCGUGCUAGCGACUCAAGAAAACAAGAGGUCACAAGCAUACGGCUU